rnacentral:rRNA from 1 species
UGAAUCCAUAGGUUAAUGAGGCGAACCGGGGGAACUGAAACAUCUAAGUACCCCGAGGAAAAGAAAUCAACCGAGAUUCCCCCAGUAGCGGCGAGCGAACGGGGAGGAGCCCAGAGCCUGAAUCAGUGUGUGUGUUAGUGGAAGCGUCUGGAAAGGCGCGCGAUACAGGGUGACAGCCCCGUACACAAAAAUGCACAUGCUGUGAGCUCGAUGAGUAGGGCGGGACACGUGGUAUCCUGUCUGAAUAUGGGGGGACCAUCCUCCAAGGCUAAAUACUCCUGACUGACCGAUAGUGAACCAGUACCGUGAGGGAAAGGCGAAAAGAACCCCGGCGAGGGGAGUGAAAAAGAACCUGAAACCGUGUACGUACAAGCAGUGGGAGCACAGAGCAAUCUGUGUGACUGCGUACCUUUUGUAUAAUGGGUCAGCGACUUAUAUUCUGUAGCAAGGUUAACCGAAUAGGGGAGCCGAAGGGAAACCGAGUCUUAACUGGGCGUUAAGUUGCAGGGUAUAGACCCGAAACCCGGUGAUCUAGCCAUGGGCAGGUUGAAGGUUGGGUAACACUAACUGGAGGACCGAACCGACUAAUGUUGAAAAAUUAGCGGAUGACUUGUGGCUGGGGGUGAAAGGCCAAUCAAACCGGGAGAUAGCUGGUUCUCCCCGAAAGCUAUUUAGGUAGCGCCUCGUGAAUUCAUCUCCGGGGGUAGAGCACUGUUUCGGCAAGGGGGUCAUCCCGACUUACCAACCCGAUGCAAACUGCGAAUACCGGAGAAUGUUAUCACGGGAGACACACGGCGGGUGCUAACGUCCGUCGUGAAGAGGGAAACAACCCAGACCGCCAGCUAAGGUCCCAAAGUCAUGGUUAAGUGGGAAACGAUGUGGGAAGGCCCAGACAGCCAGGAUGUUGGCUUAGAAGCAGCCAUCAUUUAAAGAAAGCGUAAUAGCUCACUGGUCGAGUCGGCCUGCGCGGAAGAUGUAACGGGGCUAAACCAUGCACCGAAGCUGCGGCAGCGACACUAUGUGUUGUUGGGUAGGGGAGCGUUCUGUAAGCCUGUGAAGGUGUGCUGUGAGGCAUGCUGGAGGUAUCAGAAGUGCGAAUGCUGACAUAAGUAACGAUAAAGCGGGUGAAAAGCCCGCUCGCCGGAAGACCAAGGGUUCCUGUCCAACGUUAAUCGGGGCAGGGUGAGUCGACCCCUAAGGCGAGGCCGAAAGGCGUAGUCGAUGGGAAACAGGUUAAUAUUCCUGUACUUGGUGUUACUGCGAAGGGGGGACGGAGAAGGCUAUGUUGGCCGGGCGACGGUUGUCCCGGUUUAAGCGUGUAGGCUGGUUUUCCAGGCAAAUCCGGAAAAUCAAGGCUGAGGCGUGAUGACGAGGCACUACGGUGCUGAAGCAACAAAUGCCCUGCUUCCAGGAAAAGCCUCUAAGCAUCAGGUAACAUCAAAUCGUACCCCAAACCGACACAGGUGGUCAGGUAGAGAAUACCAAGGCGCUUGAGAGAACUCGGGUGAAGGAACUAGGCAAAAUGGUGCCGUAACUUCGGGAGAAGGCACGCUGAUAUGUAGGUGAAGCGACUUGCUCGUGGAGCUGAAAUCAGUCGAAGAUACCAGCUGGCUGCAACUGUUUAUUAAAAACACAGCACUGUGCAAACACGAAAGUGGACGUAUACGGUGUGACGCCUGCCCGGUGCCGGAAGGUUAAUUGAUGGGGUCAGCGCAAGCGAAGCUCUUGAUCGAAGCCCCGGUAAACGGCGGCCGUAACUAUAACGGUCCUAAGGUAGCGAAAUUCCUUGUCGGGUAAGUUCCGACCUGCACGAAUGGCGUAAUGAUGGCCAGGCUGUCUCCACCCGAGACUCAGUGAAAUUGAACUCGCUGUGAAGAUGCAGUGUACCCGCGGCAAGACGGAAAGACCCCGUGAACCUUUACUAUAGCUUGACACUGAACAUUGAGCCUUGAUGUGUAGGAUAGGUGGGAGGCUUUGAAGUGUGGACGCCAGUCUGCAUGGAGCCGACCUUGAAAUACCACCCUUUAAUGUUUGAUGUUCUAACGUUGACCCGUAAUCCGGGUUGCGGACAGUGUCUGGUGGGUAGUUUGACUGGGGCGGUCUCCUCCUAAAGAGUAACGGAGGAGCACGAAGGUUGGCUAAUCCUGGUCGGACAUCAGGAGGUUAGUGCAAUGGCAUAAGCCAGCUUGACUGCGAGCGUGACGGCGCGAGCAGGUGCGAAAGCAGGUCAUAGUGAUCCGGUGGUUCUGAAUGGAAGGGCCAUCGCUCAACGGAUAAAAGGUACUCCGGGGAUAACAGGCUGAUACCGCCCAAGAGUUCAUAUCGACGGCGGUGUUUGGCACCUCGAUGUCGGCUCAUCACAUCCUGGGGCUGAAGUAGGUCCCAAGGGUAUGGCUGUUCGCCAUUUAAAGUGGUACGCGAGCUGGGUUUAGAACGUCGUGAGACAGUUCGGUCCCUAUCUGCCGUGGGCGCUGGAGAACUGAGGGGGGCUGCUCCUAGUACGAGAGGACCGGAGUGGACGCAUCACUGGUGUUCGGGUUGUCAUGCCAAUGGCACUGCCCGGUAGCUAAAUGCGGAAGAGAUAAGUGCUGAAAGCAUCUAAGCACGAAACUUGCCCCGAGAUGAGUUCUCCCUGACUCCUUGAGAGUCCUGAAGGAACGUUGAAGACGACGACGUUGAUAGGCCGGGUGUGUAAGCGCAGCGAUGCGUUGAGCUAACCGGUACUAAUGAACCGUGAGGCUUAACCUUACAACGCCGAAGGUGUUU